rnacentral:rRNA from 1 species
AAAUUGAAGAGUUUGAUCAUGGCUCAGAUUGAACGCUGGCGGCAGGCCUAACACAUGCAAGUCGAACGGUAGCACAGAGAGCUUGCUCUCGGGUGACGAGUGGCGGACGGGUGAGUAAUGUCUGGGAAACUGCCUAAUGGAGGGGGAUAACUACUGGAAACGGUGGCUAAUACCGCAUAACGUCGCAAGACCAAAGAGGGGGA